rnacentral:tRNA from 1 species
GCCCGGGUGGCUCAGUUGGAUAAGCGUCUGACUCCAGCUCAGGUCAUGAUCUCACGGUCUGUGGGUUCGAGCCCCCACGUCGGGCU